CUUGGCACCAUACCACCUGCACUUAGGCUAGGUAACCCAUCCGAAGCUAAGCAGGUUUGGGUCUGCCCAGUACUUGGAUGGGAGACCAACUAGGAAAGCUGGGUUGCUGCUGGAA
rnacentral:rRNA from 1 species